GACGAACGCUGGCGGCGUGCUUAACACAUGCAAGUCGAACGGAAAGGCCCUGCUUUUGUGGGGUGCUCGAGUGGCGAACGGGUGAGUAACACGUGAGUAACCUGCCCUUGACUUUGGGAUAACUUCAGGAAACUGGGGCUAAUACCGGAUAGGAGCUCCUGCUGCAUGGUGGGGGUUGGAAAGUUUCGGCGGUUGGGGAUGGACUCGCGGCUUAUCAGCUUGUUGGUGGGGUAGUGGCUUACCAAGGCUUUGACGGGUAGCCGGCCUGAGAGGGUGACCGGCCACAUUGGGACUGCGAUAGGGCGCAGUCUCCUACGGUAGGCAGCAGUGGGGAAUCUUGUACAAUGGGCGGAAGCGUGAUGCAGCAAUGCUGCGUGCGGGAUGACGGUUUUCGGGUGGUAAAGCGCUUUCGGCUGAGACGAAGCGGGAGUGACGGUAAUGAGUAAAGAAGCACCGGCUAACUACGUG
rnacentral:rRNA from 1 species